rnacentral:lncRNA from 1 species
AAUAACUUCAUGUCCACGCCUUUCUCCCCUAAUUCCUCGUACAUGCGACCAAACGCCGCGUUUUUUGCUCCCGUAACCCCCAUCUUUGCUUCUUUCCUCGCCGCUUUGUAGAUCUCCCUGUUCGCUCUCCAUUCUUCCUUGCUUGUGCUCCCUGCCAUCUUAGCAAACGCCGCCUUCUUCGCCUCCACUUUUCCUUGGACUACAUCGUUCCACCACCAGUCACCCUG